AUAAAAUUUUUUAAAAAAGGAAACAAACACAGAAUCCAGGAAUAAAUCUUUAAUGUGUAAGACCGUUAUGGAGGAAAUUAUAAAAAUUUAUUGGAAGACAUUAAAGGAGAUCUAAGUAAAUGGUUGGAAGACUCUCUUUCAUAAAGAUGUAACUUCUCGCUAAAUUGAUCUAUAGGUUCAAUGCAACACCAGUAAAAAUCUUAAUUUUUUUGUGGGGCGGUGAAGCUUGGCAAGGUGAUUCUAAAAUUCAUAUAUAAAUGCAAAGGCCCAAUAAUAGCCAACAUACUCUUGAAGAAUAAGCCAAAAUGUAUUAUAAAGCUAAACAAGUACACACUGUGGAAUAGAAAAAUGGGUCAAUGGAAAGCCCAGAAACAGACCUGUGCAUAUAGGGACAUACGAUGUAUGAAAUAUUGCUGUCACAUGCCAGUGGGAAGGGGAUGGACUUUUCCUUAAACAGUGCUCAGAAAGUAAAUGAGUAGCCAUAGGGAAAGAGAGAUACUGGGCCCUGCUACACACCAUAUGUAAAAAUUAUUCUAGGUUAAGACCUAAAUGUGAAAGGCAAAGUAUAAAAUAUUUAGAAGACAUUAAAGAUAUCUUACGAUCUUGGGGUAGGGAUAGAUAUCCUCAAUAAGACACAAAAAGCACAAGCCAUAAAAAUGAUCAAUUUCACUAUAUUAAAACUAAGAACUUCCAUUCAUCAAAAGGCCAUAAAGAAAGUGGAAAGACAAGUCACAAACUGGGAGAAAUAUGAAGAGGGUCUUACACCGUAAUGAGAUUAUUCACCCUGGAAAUGGCCUCGCCUGACUGCAAACGAGGCAUGUCUCUUUUAGGGAGGAGGGAAGAAUGAGCACCAGAAGUUUCUACCACACCUAGUGAGGCUGAACUGGUCCUACCCGAAGACCCAACGAUUCUGCUGUCAUGUACAUAACGUGAUGAAUGUACAGUGGCUUGUGUAAAAUGAGCUGUGUGCCAGAAUGUUUACAGCAGAAUUGUUCAUAGCAGGGAAAAAAAGGACAUAAGUUCACAUUCCAUAGUAAGAAUGGAAUGUACAGAUCCGUUUCAGCAUAUUCAUAUAGCAGAAUAGUAUACAAUGAUGAAUAUGCAACAAUGUGGAUCCACUUCCAAAACAUAACGUUGAUGGAAGAAAGGCAACAGAAAAGCACAUGCAAUAUGAUUCUAAUUACUUGAAGUCCAAAAAGCAAAUCAGUGUAUUUGUUAAGGAUACAUACCAAGUUGUUACAAAAAAAAAAAAAAAAAAAAAAAAAGACAAUAGAGACAAACAAGUGAGUAACUGACACAAAAUUUAGCAUAGAUUCCCUCUGGAUUCCCUCAGAACUCUCAUGGGACCUGAGAGGGGAAACGGGGCUCUGGGAAUCAGGUAAUGUCUCAUUUAUUCACCUGGGCAGUGAAAACUUAGUUCUAUGCCUCUGUCCAAAAAUUGAGAUGUUCAGUUCAGGCCCAGGUGAUGAGAAUUGUCAAAGACAUGGCUUUCGGUAAAAAAAGAAAAAAAAAAGAAAAAGCUCCUUUGGCACAGGUUCAGCGAACCAAUAAAGAAAUUCUUUCCUUCCACCUUUAGUUGCCAUUUCAAACCCGCCGAUUAAUCACAGUGUGUUCCUGGCAGCCGCCCAGACCAGCUCCUCUGAAAAUAGGUGAAGAGGGAGCCCUCGGACAAGAGCACCUUCAGCACCACGGACAGCAACCCACGGCUGGCCCUUCUGAGACCAGCUAUGUAGGGAUUCAGAAUGUUGCAGAAGGGCAGAGGCCUUCAAAGUCAUGGCCCAGGAGGCAGAGGAUGAAACAGAACCCAGGUCUCCUGAUACCUAAUCUAGUCUUCAUUCCAUUGCUCCUGGCUUUGGCUAAAUGGACUGAAACUCCUCCCUGAACCAAGAAGUCGCCAGGGGCCUUCCACAUGUGGCUUUCACACAUGCCAUUGAAGGCUUGGGCUUCGCAGUCAGUCUCAGCAGGGUUGAGAUCUGACUCUGCCUGCAUCAUCUGAGUGCCCUCGGAAGUCUCUUCACCUCUCCAAGCCUCAGUGUCAGUCAUAUCAACUCCCCACAGAGUUGCUGCGAGAAUUCAGUAAUAUUAGAUCUUGUGCUCUGGUGUGCAUUUAAAACCUAGAAAAUUCCCUCUCCCUCAGUGGAUUUCAUAUAGAAAAAAAAAAAAAAAUUGGUCCUUUGGAACAUUUCAAAGAUGCUGAAACAACUAGAGGCUGUUCUGGAAAUAAACCCCACAAAAUUUCCGUAUAAAAUCUUGGCAUUGCUAACAGACAUUAAGGCUCCCUUAGAUGUCGAUGUCUUAGCUUUGUCCAGUCUGGUUCAUUAGAGGCCCCUGAUCGUUGCCUAAUAUGUCCUUACUUUUUGUCAUGCCAAGAGACGCUCAGAGAAGAGGGGUGAAAAUAUGCCUACAAAAUGUCUCCAAGGCUAAGGGGUCUUCAACCACACACUGCUUUCCCACAUUGAACCUGAAGGGUAAUAUGUUGUUCUCUUGAUUAGUCGCUAGAUUCUAUUUAUUAGUAUUUUAUUUAGAAAUUUUCACCUAUACGUGUGCCAUCAGUCUAUAGUUCCCCUUAUUUUGUAUUAAAGAUAUUCUAGAUGCAUAGAAUGAAUAAGGGCAUUUCUCUCCUAUCCUUUUCUAUGGCCUCAAAUAGUUUAAACAGCAUUAAAAUGAUUCAUUCUUUAGAAAUUAGAUAAAACUCAGCUGUGAACCUGUCUGAUUCUGCUGUCUUUUCACUGAUAGAUCUCCAGUCACCUUCUAGUCUCUUCUAUGGUAAUUGGUCUAUUAAAAUUUUCCAUUUUUUCUUGGGCUGAUUUUGGUAAUUUACUAGGAAAUCAUCCAUUUCCCUGAGGUUUUCAAUUUGUUAUCACAGAGUUGCGUGUAAUAUUCUCUCAUAAUUAGUUUUAUCUCUCCUGUAUCUCUAGUUAUAUUGGUAUGUCUGCCUUCUUACUGCUAAUCUUGUCUAAUUUUACUCUCUCUCUUCAUUCUCCAUAAUUGGACUCACGAGGGUUUUUUCUAUUUUAUUAGCCAUUUCAAAGAAUAAGCUUUUGCAUUUACAUAUUCUUCCCACUAUUUAAAUGUUUUUUUCUAUUUCAUCAGUUUCAGUUCUUUAUGAAUUCCCCAUUUCUUGUUUCUUUUGUUGUUUCUUUUCCUAAUUGCUUGAGACAAGUACUAAAAAUGAUGUUAUGUUUAGCCUUUGCCCCUUCGAAUGAAGGCAUUUAGGCGGUGUGUUUCUAAGCUGUUAUCUUUACUCCAUAUGUUUUAACAUGAAGCAUUUUCUUUUUCUUUGUUUUCCAGAUGAUAUAUAACUUCUCCCUUGAUUUUUCUCUUUGAUCCAAGAGUUAUGCAUGAAUGUUUUAAACUUGCAAGUCAAGUGUUUGGCUCCCAUUUUAUUAUUAAUUACUACUUGUGUUGAAUAUGGCUGGAGCAUGAGGCCUGUGAAAACUUCAUUCUUGGGUUCUUGAAUUUGGUUUGGGUCUUCUCUUGAGUUUUUUCUUCAAAUGAAGGAUGCAGGGGAUAGAAGAGAAUUUGGGAAGCGUACUCUCAGAAUCUUCCUUUUGCCUUGACGGCAGGACGAUUGCUCCGUGACAGCAGAGACCUUGCUGCUGGCUCCCCAAUACUCCUCGAGGCAAGGGCUGGAUUGCCAAGCUAUGUGGACUCCCUGGAGACCCUCUGGGGGGCCCUGGACCUGGGCUCGGGGGCCUGGGAGGUGGAUGGUGUCCCAGCUCUGCAGACGAUGAUGACUCUGUGACCUCCCAUAAGUCCCUGGACUUCUCCGGGCCGCCGUCUCCUUAUUCAUCGAACGAGGAAGGAGACCUAAUUGCCAGUGUACCUUCCGGCCCUGCGGGAAGAGACUUAAACCCUGGAUGGGGCCCUACAAUGCGUGCAUCCUCAGAGUGUAGCUGUGCCUUCUCCACGCCCAUAGCAACCAGAGAGCUGGGAUCAGCCCAUCCCACGGCCUGGGGACUGGCCAGGAAGCCCUUUGGGGUCCCACAGUCUACGCUGGUCUGGGCUCCCGCAGCCCCCGUGACCCACGGGUCUCCAGCUCCAGACCUGCCAUGGCCAUCUCCCAUCUAUCUUGUGUCACAAACUCCCAGCCCCCGCCUGGCACGGCGGCCCCGAGCCUGGCAGGUGAUGUUUCAGGGGCAGGGAAAGCCUCUCUGAAGCCCCAGGCCCUUGCAGAGCUCCCAUCAGCUCAGUGGAUGUUUCCUGAUCCCUACUCUGUGCUGGGGACACAGACAGGUCGGACAGGCCCUGUCCUAGGAAUCUCGAGGCCUGGACCGGAGCAGGGGCUGUUCGCACCGGGGCACGUGGGCCAGGCCCAGACCCCACCUGGGCCAGGAGGGUUUCCAGGGGAAGGCUCCCAUGGAACAGGAGCCUCUGGAAGCACCCCACCCUCUCUUCCCUCCCCCGGGAGGUGACAGGCCCGUGAUUAUACAAACGAUACACCUGCGAGUCCCCAGAAUAGCAGCAGUGUGUACAGGGAUGCCUGUCUCGCUGCGGAAUCGCUGCCGCCGCGGCUGCGUUUGCAGAAAUACCUUCUGCCACACAAAGGUGAACGUGGCAGAGGCGAGAACCAGGCUUCUGAAAAGGGAAAAUAUUUAAACACCUUCCGCGGGGAUCUGUAAACUCUCGGCACGGGGACAACGAUGGCGCCAUGUGACUGGACUGAAGUUAGCUUCCACCGGAGGAAGCUGGCUCCCCGGCCAGGGAGGUGGAGGGAGGAGGGCAGCGUGUCCUCCGCGGGGCGGGCGGGAUGAGCUCCCGCACCGCGGGGCCCCGCCUGCGGGCCAGGCCUCCGCCGGCGAGCCGCACACGCCUCCCCGCGCUUCAUCCAGAUGGAUGGAGAGCCCUCUUCUGCCCUCGCCAACCAACCGGUGGGGUGGGGGGCAGAGGCACGGAGAGGGUCGCCCACUCGCCCACGGUCACGCCGGGUGGAAACGACAAGCUUGGGAUUUGGAUCCCGGCCGCCUGACUCAGAAGCCGGUACUUAUCCCACAGCCCGAGUGCCAGUCGGGGUCCGUCUGGGAGAACUGAUCUGAUGGUGAUGGAGAGCCUGUUCACACCCCGUGUGCGCUUUAGGGACACGCUGCUUCGGACGGGGGGGUGGGGUCCGCAGAGCAGCCUCCACGCCCCGGCUCUGCCCCGUGCCCGUGCUGGACAACUUCCAGGUGUUCCUGUCCACAGCCACAUCAACAACCGCGGGGCAUCCCGUCUCACACCCGAGCGCAAGCUUCCCCACGUCCCACAUUUAGAGCGUUCUCCGUAAGCUAUUGUUUGUUUUUAAGAGCGGAAGAUUUUUUAUUUUUAAUUAUUCUUAUUUACGUCAGCAUUAGUAUUACGAAGGAGAAGAGCUGGGUUCAACAAAUGUCCCCUCUCUAUGGGUGUCUAAUUAUUUUACGCACUGGGUGGUGAGGAGGUGACUGAGAGAAAGGUCACCAGUGCCAUUUCCUGGCCACCGGUACGUCGUUCUUGAAUCCAUUUCAUUAAUCUAGUCAGCAAACGCCCAGGAGCCUCUGCUCUGCCAAGCCCCGCGUACCCAGAAGCGGAGGCUGGGGGCAGGAUGCCCUCCCCACUGCCCAGGAGUCCCGCUGUGGGCGUGGACAUGCUGCCCUCCCAUCUCCUGGGCCUGGUUUUCGAACAGCCUCCCUCAGGGGUUGGCCCUGACGCUCCGGCCUCGGUUAAUGAGACCCUCCUGCUGGGCACAGGGUUCGUGCCCCUCCAGCAACCCCCCUCAGGAGCUGUCAGCUGGUGAAGCCUCUGCCGAUGGCCUGAUUGAUCCUGGCAGCACUGGGGCUCCGUGGGGAACACGAUGGAGCUAUUUAUGGAGCAGGUGUGGAGCUGGGCAGUGGUUCAGGCUGCGCCUUAAGAAGCCUGAAAUCCACUGAUCAUAUUUCCUGCAGUAAAGCAAGGGCUUGUGUGUGUGUUGGGGGUGGGGUGCGGUUAGGGGCCGCCCUUGGCUCGAAGGAGGGGCCCCUGGCCUUGCCUCUGCCCUCAUUCGCAUGUCACCCUGAGUCCCAGAGGGGGCUGGCUGGCUCCUCACCUGCUAGAUGAACUUCCUACUCUUAAGAGUCCUCUAACUCCGGGGGCAGAUCAGAUCCUCCCUGAGCCUCGAACCUGCGCACCGAUCGUUCCUGAAACAGUUUAGAGUGUGAAUCUCCCAGGCGUCUUUGCCCACGUGGUCACAAUUGGAGACAUCACCGCACAAGGAGAACUCUGGGGCUCAGAAAUUCCAAGUAAGACCCCCCUUGGGCUUCACAUCUCAGGGAGGAGCCCACCCAUCUGGGGCUCUGUGUCCUCACAUCACCUGUUGAUGGACUUUUGGGGCAGGUGCAGGUCCAGCAGCCCCAGGUCACAGGCUCUGACUGUCCACCCUAUGAACUACUUCCCCUGCCCCUGACAUGACAUCCUGGAAUCCUCUGGGCAGACUGAGCCUGGCCGGCCUCAGUUUCCCUUUUCUGGCGUUGGCUCUGCCUCUCGUGUCUUGGGAGCCCUGGGCCAUUUUCCUGCUCCCCUCCCCCGACUCUCACCACAUCAGCCCUGGGACCAGCCUUAGCAUAUUUGGGAUUUAAUCAUGGAGCCAAUGAAACAACUUUUAGCACCUCCUGUGUACCAGGGACUGGGCUGACUCUCCCUCUUCCUUCGCAGCCUUUUCGCCAUCACACUGGUCCAGCCUGGUAGCCUGUGCCUGGAGAGAAGGACGCAGCCCCCCAGCUCCCACCCCACCCCACAAAGGAUCUGCAGUCACGGUCACUGUCCUAAGCUUAGAGCCUUGGCUUCGUCACCGGCCAAGGGGAUGAUGAUGGCCUCACAGAGUCAUCAUGAAUGCUCAGUUCCCAGCUCAGGCUGAACACCCAGCAGGUGCUCAAGAAAGGCUCACUCAGGACCAGCCCACCAGGGCGCCAUACACCAUCACGGUGCCACUUGCUCCCGGCUCCCUACAUCCUCUCACAAUGCCAUCUCAGCUGGGGCCAGGUUGGUGAUGGCCUUGAAAGGAAACAGGUGAGCACCGAGCCCAGGAUGAGCCCUGUGUGGACCCCUGUGUUCAAGAUCCUCAGGCUGUAACAGAUCUCGACCAAAGACAGGGCUGGGAUUGAUUAGCAAUGUCUGCUGUGGGCCCAGGCCAAGGGAAGGCAGCCUGUGUGCCAAUAUUGGUGAGCUCACCCUUGGACCCACUCCCCUCUCCGGGCUCACUCCUCACUCCUUCCACUGUCUGAGCUCUUGUUGCUUUCUGCCCUCUCUUCCACCUCUGCGUUUCGUGUUCUUUCUCCUCCUUCAUUGCACUCGACCCCCAGGGACAUCAGAGUCAAGGCCUAAACCUCAGAGACUCUCGGGGUCCUGGCAGGCAACCACCUUUGCCAUCUGCACAGCUAUUUUUUUUUUCUUUCACUCUUCUACAUCUACCUCUUCCUGCCUUCCUUUGAGAGAUCUCACUUGGGGUGAUGACUUCAGAUGCACUGGCACGUGAGCUCAACUCUGCUCUUUGGUUUUUAACAAACAUUUAUUGUGCACCUACUGUGUGGAAGGCCUGCAUGACAAGUUGAGGCCGGCAUGGCCCCUGCCCUCAAGGAGCUCACAGUCUGGCAGGGGAGGUGUGACUGGCACCAAAGGGGUCACAGGAUAGAAGUAUGUGCAGAGACACAGGCACCUCAUCCAGGCUGGGCACAGGGGAAGCUUCUGGAGGAGAUGCUGCCAGAGCUGAAUCUUGAAAGAUGAGGAGACGGGAGCCUGAAGAGGACAGGGAAAGGUAUACAGGCGGAGGGAAUGGCGUGAGCAAAGGCACGGAGGUGUGACGUGCUGCACUGGGUGGCUGGCCUAGAGCACGGUACCUCCCUGCUUCCCGCCCGCAGCUGAGUCUUUCACAGACACAUAGCGCUGAUGUAGAAGCAGCACUAGACUGGGAGUGAGAUCCACUGACUCACUGAGGGGCCCGAAUAAGCUGGUCGGCCUCUCUGGGUAACACAGGGUAGUGAUUCUUAGCCCCAGGGGCUACGGACACGCCCACUGUGUGUAAAGAACCUGCAGUCUCAGUACCUGCCUCCCUCCCACGCCUCCUCAAAGAAAUUCUUUCCCAGGGUUCUCAUUGGUUGAGAGGUGAGCCACGCCCAGCCAAUCACCGUGGCUGGGGGAAACCUGGCUCUGAUUGGCCACACCUGAGCUCUGAAUCCACCUCUAGGCUGAGCUGGAGUUGGUGCUCCCAGACCACAGGGGCAGAGAGGGAAGGUGGUCUCCCCAGACGCACUGCCACCAGCCUAACCGCUUUCUGGACUGUCAUGCGGCAGCAACCCACAGUGCUAGCUGAGCACCUGCCUUGGGGAUGAGUGCUGGGGACACAGGGAAGAUGUCAAGACCCAGGCUCUGCUUCAAGGAGUUCACUUCCACCUGCAGGUCAAGACCAUGGAAGGAGAGUGUAGGGUGAGGAGAGGAGUGUGGGUGCUGGAUGGACAGACCAGGAAACCCUCCUUUUACCCCCCCUCCCCGACCAAGAACCCUCCAGAGGCCCGGCUCCCAGGCUUGUUUCUCUUGAGUCCAA